UCGCUAGUAAUCGCGGAUCAGCAUGCCGCGGUGAAUACGUUCCCGGGCCUUGUACACACCGCCCGUCACACCACGAGAGUUGGCAACACCCGAAGUCGGUGAGGUAACCUUUUUGGAGCCAGCCGCCGAAGGUGGGGCCAAUGAUUGGGGUGAAGUCGUAACAAGGUAGCCGUAUCGGAAGGUGCGGCUGG
rnacentral:rRNA from 7 species